GCUUUUGAUCGGUGAAACGACGCCGGAAUGAAAUGAACCUUGGAUAUUUGUGACCUGGACUCAACGAACUUCAAAGAUAUGAAAUCGGUUUUGUGUUUCGGUGAAUAAUCGGGACGAUUUUGAGUUACCGAAAACGAAGAACAAGUGAAAUACGGUAACCUUUUGGAAAAAUAUUUCUUUUCAAUUCUCUGUUUCUCUCACCACACGUUUUUU
rnacentral:lncRNA from 1 species